rnacentral:rRNA from 1 species
UACGUAGGGGGCUAGCGUUGUCCGGAUUUAUUGGGCGUAAAGGGCGUGUAGGCGGCCAGAUAGGUCUGUUGUGAAAACUCGAGGCUCAACCUCGAGACGCCGAUGGAAACCAUCUGGCUAGAGUCCGGAAGAGGAGAGUGGAAUUCCUGGUGUAGCGGUGAAAUGCGCAGAUAUCAGGAAGAACACGCGUGGCUAAGGCGGCUCUCUAGUACGGUACUGACGCUGAGACGCGAAAGCGUGGGGAGCGAACCGG